UUGGUGUAGAUGAGGGAGA
rnacentral:misc_RNA from 1 species